AACUUUAUUCCAGCUAUCUACCUAAAGCUAGUCAUAACUGCACCAACGUAAUCCUAUUUUCAUAUUCCUGUAGCUGUAUGUGACUUAAAGACUGCUGAACGUCUUGGAUGGCAGCCAUCAAAUUAUUGCGUGUUGCUGUCUUUCAUGAGCCCUGAAUGCGUGCGCAUGUGGUGGGCAGGUUCAGAUUAGGAAGGAAAACAGGAAGAGAGCAGAAAGCAUACAAGGAAGUUCACAAAAAGAAGUAAUGAAUUUAAACAAUUAUUUUGUCCUUAUUCUUCUGGUACAUAUGGAUCUUUAUGGCUCUAGCACAGUGGAUGUGCAAAACACUGAUAUCACUUGUGAUGAUAUUAAAGAAAAUGAAAACUAUAAAUAUUCUUCUAACCUGGACAUGAAUGAUAUUUCAUUAUCUGAAGAGACCUGGGAAGUGAAUGGCAAACCUAUUGCUAUUAUUCAUUAUGAUGACACUUCACAGAUUAAUUUCACUGAUGAUGUGAUCAGUGCUGGUUCUGGGACCAUUAUCCUCUGCUGCUGUAGGAGUAUCAACUACACAGCUCUUUUUACUGAAAAAACUAAAGGCCUGCGGGAGAGGAGAAUUUACUAUAAAGCUCGUGAAGACAAUGAUCAUCAAUUUAAGAAGGAUGAAGAGUGCAAAUCCAGGAAUAGGUGGAUUAUUCUUGGUACUGUUUUUGCAUUUCUUAUUGUGAUGGUCUUGAUUGUCUUCUGGAUAAAAUGGUGAGUGGUGAGACUUAACAGCUUGCAAUCUGUCAAGUCAUUUACUUAUAUCUUCAAUCACCCAGGCUUGUUGUAAGUGGCCUGAUGCACGUUCAUUAUACUAAUGUAUAUACAUUCAUUGUCAUGAGUGACUGUAAAAUCUAAUUCAGUCUCAAUAUGAAGUUCUUUUCUAUUGCAGUUAGAUUGUGUAAUCAAGGAUUGAAAAACAUACUGUAUGCUUGAAAAGAAAUUCAGAAAACAAACAACUGUCAUUAAGACACAGCAUUUGUGACAUUAAUGAUGACAUAUCUGCCUAUGCAUCACAACAGAGUCUUAAUGCAAGCUCCCAUUUAGAAAACAAAAAUAAUCUUUAAAAAAAAAGAUCUGGAAGAGUUGCAAUAAAGAUUGCUUAAAUGGAGCCUAACCUCAGGGACUAACUGAUGGAAAAAGCUGAAGAGAAAUGUUUACUUGUCUGAAUUGUGUAGUGCAACGUUAUGGAAAUUAAAGAGCACAAUCCUCCACUGUUCCAUUCCAGGCCCUGCAGGAAAGACCCCAAUAAGAAGCCCGUGGAGAAUGUGUAAUCAAGCCAUUACAAGCAGGCCUGGUAAAUGUAACCUCAUGCAGGACAUAGUGUCGUUUCUCUGUGCAAGAAAGCAAGGAGUCUAAUAUUUUUCCUACUUGUUAUGACUGGUCUACAUUGAUCAUUUGUUAACUAUUGAUCAUUUGUUACCAAGCACUGAAAGCAGACUUCACUUACAUAUAUUUUUAAUGGCCUGAAUGAUAUUAAAUAUAUCUCAAUUUAAUUCCAUCCGUGCAUCAUUCUGGUUUUCUAACCACUUCAUCCAAUUCAGGUGGCAGGGGCACCGGAGCCUAUCCCAGCAAUCACCAAGUGCAAGACAGGAUACACCCUGUACAGGACACCACUCCAUUGCAAGACAGACACAUAGACACAGACACAAAUAUGGACAAAUAUGGACACAUACCAGGGCCAGUUAACUGUCUUUGGCCUGUGAGAGAACCUGGAGGAAACCCAUACUGUAUGUGAAUACUAAAAGAGCAUACAAACCCCACACAUACAGUAUAAUAUCCCAGGUCUGGAAUUGAAUCCAGGACCCCAACACUGUGAGGCAGUAGGUAGGUAGGUCCCUUUUCAGGCCAUAAAAGCCUAUCGGGAAUGGGGGGGCAAAGGCCAUCAUUUUUCAUUGACCUUUGGAACUGACGUGGUCAGCAUCACGUUCCGGCCAGCCUACUACCCCCAGAAGGAUUAACCCCCAGUACUCAUUUGGAAAGCAGUAGACCUGGGAGCCAUCUGGAAGGAGCCAGAGCAAGCUACAUCACUUGCCCCUACUUGGGAUUGAACCCUGGACCUUCCAGUCUGGAGCUAGAUGCUCUUGGCGCCUGAGAUACCAUGGCUCCACUAUGAGGCAGGAAAGCUAAUCAAAGUGCCACUCAAUACAAUUAAUACUUUUCAUUAAAGAUAUUAAGGAAGUCCAUACCAAAUACACCAUGAAAAUGAAACCAAUAGUUAUUUUCCAGUGUGCCCCUGAUAUGAAUGCACAUUCUGAAUUUUCAGAACACACAUUCUGAAGAGUUCUGAAUCCUGAACAUUUUAAUGUUCUUCUGAAAUUUUACAGUGUUGUACUUUGUCUUUUCUUAUUUUGCUCCACAGCAUUUAAGAAAUAAAGACCAGGACGUUGUUAGGAAGUCUCUUCCGGUGAAGCGUGGAGCUUUGCAGCACAAAAUGUCCAGAUGUUAAUUUUUUUAAUGAGCAAUAAAAUAAAUUUAAAGGAAAUCAUUGGUUAAUGAUUUGCUUUUAUUUAAAUAUAUAUAUUAAAGGACAUUUUGUAGUUCUGGAUUGGGAAAAUAAAGCAUUUUUGUAUUUUUAAUUUGAUGGUAAUAUUCAGUCUUACUGUAAGACAGUGGUUACUGUAUGUGUAAGGGAAUCAUAUCUUCUCAGGCCUGGGGAAAUAAGCCUAAGAAAUAAAUAAAGGGAUUGGUCCUGGGUGCUUAAAUUAAUAUUUGUGAGCCCUGUAAUGUAUUAGUAUACACAUACAAUAACUAAAUUGCCCUUACAGUGGAUGCUUUUUUCUUCCAUUUGAAAAGUCUUACUUAUAUUUUUUUAUAAAAUGCAAAAUUACAUUAGUCUGAAUACAUUUUAAAUAAAAUAAACACAGCAUUGUUAGUAAAACCCAAACAAGGGUUUGAAUUGUGUGAUACCACAGACAGUAGAACAACAUUGUAUUGUGGGCAUUUCCAUGAAUGCUGAUGGCAAAAAUAUAUGUUAUCAGAUACUUUCAGAGAAAAAUUAUCAGGAUCUGAGAAAAUGCUUUAUGGAGAAGCUGUUUCUUAGUCUAUAAUCAUAGCCCAGAGAUCAAAAUUCUGUUGUUUUGUUGGUAUUACUGUAAAUUGCACAUACUGUUGUUUCUAAGUUAGGAGGUUUUUCCAUAAAUGUUCUGUAUUGAGUGUUCCUUGCUCUUUUCUGCGGAAACCUCUCCAGUAGUCCCACUCAAAUGUGAGAAUUUUCUCCACUAUUAGUGGAGUUUCUCCACUUCUAGUUUAAAAAAGUGUGAUACUUACUGUAACACCAAUAGUUUAAAAUGGAUAGUUUCUGUAUUAUUGUCCAUUAUUAGGAUACAGUUGCUUAAAUACUGUACAUUAACCAACAAAGCACCCUCAAUCUGAAGUUUUCUUAUUCUUAUCUCAAUGGGUCACUCUUUGGCUGUGGAGGGGAAAUAUAGUGGUGAUAUGAUAUGUCAACAUUAACAUGCUUAUGCUAUGCUUAUGUUUAAAGGUUUGUGCUUAAUAUGUGUUUAACAAAGUGAGAAGUGGUUUUGCUGAAGCUGGUGUCUAAUGUACAACGUUAGCCUGUAAGCAGAAUUUUAUACCUAACAGAGAUGCCUAUUACAUUAAUAAAAUGAAUUUGGUUUUGGAAGUGGGAUGACAAUUGGAAAUUAAAGAAGACAAUGAAAAAAAAAAAGUAAGCCACCUGAAAAAAAUAAUAAAGAAGGCCACAUUCACCUUUUCUGUGGAGAACUGUAUGGAACAUGCAUAUGAUCAUCCAUGGUGAAAAUUAAAAAGGAACAGUAAAAUAGGCAAUCUCUGAAAGCUUUUCCAGCUUUGCAUUAUUUUUUUUUCUUUUUACUUUUCAGCAUUGAAGUAACCUGUACUUGUUUCUUCACAGCUCCCCUGUCUAAUUAAGCAAUAUGAUAGCAGUAUGGUGUAACUGAUUCAGAGCAGCGAAUGAGACUCCCUAUGACUAGCAGGUUAAUGCAUUUCAGGUUUUAUAAAUGGUUUUCAAAAAAAAUACCUGGAAUGUUUAUGGCCUUUACCUUUUUUUAAGGGUAACUGUACAGAAACAAGUGAAUUUAAUGCUGUUGUAAACAUCACUUUUCUGUUCCAACAGAACAGAAAUAAACCAAAAUAUUGUAAUACUUUCUAUUACUGGGAAAAAACAUUUUCAAUUGGCUUACAGUGCUAUCAGAUAUUGUUUUUUUCAUAUUGUAUUUACUAUGAAAUUUACAAUAAAAAUGCUGCAUUUACAGAAU
ensembl:lincRNA